AUGCCUAAUACAUGCAAGUCGUGCGAACAGAGAAGGAGCUUGCUCCUUUGACGUUAGCGGCGGACGGGUGAGUAACACGUGGGCAACCUACCUUAUAGUUUGGGAUAACUCCGGGAAACCGGGGCUAAUACCGAAUAAUCUAUUUUACUUCAUGGUGAAAUACUGAAAGACGGUUUCGGCUGUCGCUAUAAGAUGGGCCCGCGGCGCAUUAGCUAGUUGGUGAGGUAACGGCUCACCAAGGCGACGAUGCGUAGCCGACCUGAGAGGGUAGAUCGGCCACACUGGGACUGCGACACGGCCCAGACUCCUACGGGAGGCAGCAGUAGGGAAUCUUCCACAAUGGGCGAAAGCCUGAUGGAGCAACGCCGCGUGAGUGAAGAAGGUUUUCGGAUCGUAAAACUCUGUUGUAAGGGAAGAACAAGUACAGUAGUAACUGGCUGUACCUUGACGGUACCUUAUUAGAAAGCCACGGCUAACUACGUGCCAGCAGCCGCGGUAAUGCAUAGGUGGCAAGCGUUUAUCCCGGGGAAAUUAUUGGG
rnacentral:rRNA from 1 species